rnacentral:rRNA from 1 species
GACAGAGGGUGCAAACGUUGUUCGGAAUUACUGGGCGUAAAGCGCGUGUAGGCUGUUCGGAAAGUCGGAUGUGAAAGCCCCGGGCUCAACCCGGGAAGUGCACUCGAUACUGCGUAGCUAGAGUGUCGGAGAGGUUGGUGGAAUUCUCGGUGUAGAGGUGAAAUUCGUAGAUAUCGAGAGGAACACCGGUGGCGAAGGCGGCCAACUGGACGAACACUGACGCUGAGACACGAAAGCGUGGGGAGCAAACAGG